GCAGCGCUUGAGGUGAAGUUCUGUUAUACACUCUGACUGUGGCUAUGUGGAAGUCAGUGCAUCACAGAACUUUGUCUCGAGAGCUUG
rnacentral:pre_miRNA from 14 species